rnacentral:rRNA from 9 species
AGAAAGCGUAAUAGCUCACUGGUCUAGUUAAGCCACCUUGCGCCGAAGAUGUACCGGGGCUCAAGCCGUACACCGAAGCUGAGGGCAUGGAUUUAUCCAUGCGGUAGCGGAGCGUUCCGUAGGCCUGCGAAGGGGAAGUGUGAACUUUCCUGGAGGUAUCGGAAGUGCGAAUGCUGACAUGAGUAGCGACAAAGAGUGUGAGAAACACUCUCG